rnacentral:rRNA from 1 species
GAUGAACGCUGGCGGCGUGCCUAAUACAUGCAAGUCGAGCGAACAGACGAGGAGCUUGCUCCUCUGACGUUAGCGGCGGACGGGUGAGUAACACGUGGAUAACCUACCUAUAAGACUGGGAUAACUUCGGGAAACCGGAGCUAAUACCGGAUAAUAUAUUGAACCGCAUGGUUCAAUAGUGAAAGACGGUUUUGCUGUCACUUAUAGAUGGAUCCGCGCCGCAUUAGCUAGUUGGUAAGGUAACGGCUUACCAAGGCGACGAUGCGUAGCCGACCUGAGAGGGUGAUCGGCCACACUGGAACUGAGACACGGUCCAGACUCCUACGGGAGGCAGCAGUAGGGAAUCUUCCGCAAUGGGGGAAAGCUUGACGGAGCAAAGCCGCGUGAGUGAUGAAGGUCUUCGGAUCGUAAAACUCUGUUAUUAGGGAAGAACAAAUGUGUAAGUAACUAUGCACGUCUUGACGGUACCUAAUCAGAAAGCCACGGCUAACUACGUG